UACGUAGGGCGCAAGCGUUAUCCGGAAUGACUGGGCGUAAAGCGCGCGUAGGCGGACCUGCAAGUCGGGGGUGAAAUCCCGGGGCUCAACCCUGGAAUGGCCUUCGAGACUGCCGGUCUGAGUUCGAGAGAGGUGGGUGGAAUUCCGAGUGUAGAGGUGAAAUUCGUAGAUAUCGGAGGAACACCAGUGGCGAAGGCGGCCCACUGGCUCGACACUGACGCUGAGGUGCGA
rnacentral:rRNA from 1 species